CAUGACCAGUAUCUCCACUCAGAGCUGCUGAAGGAAGAAGCAUCUGUGCAGACCCUGGUCUGUGACUGGACCUUUCUCCUGGUUCAGAGGUGACUGGCAAACUCAUCUAUGUAAGAUGUGCCCAAGUGGAGGAACUUCUGUAAUAAUUGACUGACCUGCAGGAGACAGUCAAAAGGCUGUGUACUACCAUGGAGACAAAGAUAGAGUCAGCCAAAUUCACAUGCAACCUGCAUUGAAUCCACAGUCUGGGGCCAAACAGCCCCAAACUCCCCCACUGGCACAUCCAGUUGGAGGAGAAGUGAUGAGAAAUGGCAAAUUGCUGUGAGAAAAACUAGCAAGAGGAAAAAGUCUGCCUCAAAGCCUGAGGUACCUCCACAGAAUUGCUUCAUGGUUCUGCAGACUGAGAAGGAAAAAGAAACAGCAAGUGGCACCAGUGACACAGCUGUUAGCAACAUCAAGAGAGACUACAAGGAGCUGGGAGCAGCAUUGAAGAACUCAGGAGCACAGGAGUGCUGAGAAGGUGGAGACACUGAAAACCUUCUUUGCUUCUGUCUUCACUGGAAAAAGAUUUUUCACUUUAGAAUCUUGUACCCUGGAAGUGAGAGAGUCUGGGGAAUGGAAGGCUCCUUUUUGGUGAAGGAUGAGAUGGUCUGAAAGUGUCUAUGUAUCAUCAGCGUGCAUAAAUCCACAAACCCCAAUAGGAUGCAUCCAUGUGUGCUGAGAGAGAGGUCAAAGGUGAUUGCUGAACUGCCCUCUAGGGCUCUAGCCAUACCACCCAAGUUGCAGACAGCAAUGGUAAGAAAUUAAAGAAGAUAGAUCUACCUGCUGUAAGUGAAGAUCAGUUACAAGACCCUCUAAAGAACCUGAAGGUGCACAAGUACCUACAAAAAUCCACAAGACCCAACAAAAUCCAUGUGUGGGUUCUGAGGGAAAUGGUGGAUGGAGUUGCUAAGCCACUAUCCAUCAUAUUUGAAAGGUCAUGGCAGUCUGAUGAAGUUCUAACUUAUCAGAACCUCCGUUUUCAAGAAGGGAAGAAGAUAAAGGAAACUACAGGCCAGUCAGUCUCAUCUCUGUGCCUGGCAAGAUCACGGAGCAGAUC